rnacentral:misc_RNA from 1 species
CACCAUCACGCGACCGACCGACGUUCAGUUGUUACCGUCGUUACGCGACGUUCAUUUGUCGCGCGACAUUCGAUUGAGUCGUUUCUCGUCGAAUUCCGGUAUACGUCUGAAAUUUAGAAUUCAAUCCCGUGAAAUAUUGGUACCCCGUGUGGUUGAUAACAGUGAUAAUUAUCACGAUACGUAGGAUAAGUUGAGGAUACUGAGAAGUGGUGCUCAGUGAAUAUUUUAGGUGUUUUCUUUCAGUUACGAACUUAUCCGCGCUCACUUGUUUCUCUCGACUUUUUUCGAAUAGUACGUUGAUGUUUUUUUCGAACGAGUGAUGCUGUGAGCUUCCCGACGAUAAUCGCGAAAUUACGAUGCAAUCGUCGUCGUAAACUUUCUACUGGGAAAAGAUGAGAUUGCCCCGAAGGUGUUUUCUACAGUAGUGUGUUGUGAUGUGGUGAAAUCAAGUGCUGGUGAUAAUCGAAUUCUUCCAAACGCCUUCAGUUUUUGAGGACCAAAUAGAGUGAUGGCUGCCUGGAUGCAUUUUUGAGUACUUGCUUGAUUUUAAAAGUGCCGUCACUUGAUUCGAGAUCGUCACGCUGUCUUAGGACUGCCGACGACAGGAUUGGCAACACUGUUUCUCGUAAAGAGGCACUCGGCACAUAUUCAUUGCUUUUACUUUACCGCAGAACUGCGAAAGAUCCUUACAGUGCUCUGAAACAUCCAAAUGAUCUACCGUUGCAGCCCUGACCUAUAAGGAGCCGACUGCGGUAGUCCUCGGAAAAAAGGAGCGUAACCAUCGAGCUAAAGUUUCCCGUCUUUCCCCAGGAGGAGUUUCGAUGGAAGCAGGAUAUAGUGUUUUCACCCCGGAGCCAGCCAAGCCUGUGCCCACCGACUUGAGAGAGGAUGAGGAUACUAUGGAACGACGAAACAAGUUUUGGUACUAUUUUUGCCAAAGACAAACCUAUCAGCCACUCGUUUUAUGGAGGAUGAGGACAUCAAAAUACAUAGUACACGGUGAACGUACGCACAACGACGCUGGACGCUGUGGCUCGGAAAACUAGUGAUCUUCGGUAAAAUUUUGUGAGAUCUGUAUGUAUGUAUGUAUGUAUACAGUUAUGUGAGUGUGUUUCGUUUAUUAUGCCUAGUACAUACAUGGCCGAGAGACCAUGAGUUGUACAAAACAAUUCAUAGAGUGAAAAAUAGUAUAUAUUAUGAAAAUGAAAUACAACACAACAUGGAAACGAAAUAAGAGAUAGUACCAAUCUGUUUGCAUGAUGAGGUGCAGAUUUACAUGUAGUGCGGAUAUGCGUAUGAUAUAUACUGAUAAUUGUGCAUGAUUUUAAUAUUGUUACUGUAAUUUGUGAAAUUACUUUGUUGAUUACUGUAUUUAAUGAGUAACGCAGAUGUACACUACUUUUUUUCUCGAGUAACUUUCU